rfam:Zootermopsis nevadensis contig22542, whole genome shotgun sequence.
GCCACGGUGGUCUAGCGGUUAGAACGCUGGCCUUGUAAUCCUGAGCGUCUCGGGUUCGAUUCCCGGCGGUGACC